rnacentral:rRNA from 1 species
UACGUAGGGGGCAAGCGUUAUCCGGAUUUACUGGGUGUAAAGGGAGCGUAGACGGCGAUGCAAGCCAGAUGUGAAAGCCUUCGGCUUAACCGGAGUAGUGCAUUGGAAACUGGGAGACUUGAGUGCAGAAGAGGAGAGUGGAACUCCAUGUGUAGCGGUGAAAUGCGUAGAUAUAUGGAAGAACACCAGUGGCGAAAGCGGCUCUCUGGUCUGUAACUGACGCUGAGGUUCGAAAGCGUGGGUAGCAAACAGG